GCACAUGAAUUUCCGUGCGCACCUGCCGCGCACGUUAGAAUCUCUGACCCAUCCGUUUCUAUCUCCCUCCAUUCCCCGCGAGUGAGGAGACCAAUAAACGCAUUUCUGUCCAAUUUUCCAGUUCUUUCUUCUUUCCUCCAGAGCUACAUUGUCCUCCCAAAUUCCAAGUUAACCUCUUUUUCAUUUUUGUAAUUACCAGCCUGCCUCCGCCUUAUGGCUCCGGCUUCCACCACCUCCUCAUCGGGGGCGGCGGCGGCGGCUCGGCGUCUCAUUGGCUGUCGCCGACGAACUGAGGUUACUCCCUUGCCUUCUCCUCCGGAUUCACCGCCACCGAAGAAACUGAAGCCCAUGUCCGAGAUAUUGGCCAAGGCGAAGUACGCUGUCGUGGAGCGAAAUGACUACAACGACGUAAGCUGCGAGCAAUGCGGGUCCGGUGACCUGGAUGAUGAGCUCCUUUUGUGUGAUAAAUGCGAUAAGGGAUUUCACAUGAAAUGCCUGAGGCCGAUCGUUGCGAGAGUACCGAUUGGGUCGUGGCUCUGUCCUAUGUGCUCUGGCCAGAGACGAGUAAGAAGACUUUCACAGAAGAAGAUAAUCGAUUUCUUUAGGAUUCGGAACUGUAAUUGUAAGAAAGAUAAAUGCAGUUCUCCUCUAGAGAUGAAAAAGCGCCGAAGGCGAUCUGGAUCAUUGGUGUAUCAAAAGAAAAGGCGGAGACUGUUGCCAUUUAUUUCAUCUCAAGAUCAUUCUGAAAGGUUGAAACAAAUGGGUACUCUUGCUUCUGCAUUGACUGCAUUACAAAUGGAGUUUAGUAAUGAUCUAACCUACAUGCCUGGCAUGGCUUCUACAUCUGCCAAUCAGUCAAAGUUCGAAGAUGGUGGCAUGCAGGUUCUUUCCAAGGAGGAUAUAGAGACAUUGGAACAAUGUAGAGCUAUGUGUAGAAGAGGCGAAUGCCCUCCCCUUAUGGUGGUUUUUGAUGCAUGUGAAGGCAGAUUUACAGUUGUGGCAGAUGGCCUGAUAAAAGAUAUGACACUUAUAGCAGAAUACACAGGCGAUGUGGAUUACAUUAGAAACCGUGAACAUGAUGAUUGUGAUAGUAUGAUGACGCUUCUCUUAGCAGAAGACCCAUCCAGAAGUCUUGUAAUCUGCCCUGACAAACGUGGAAAUAUUGCUCGCUUUAUCAAUGGCAUUAACAAUCAUACUCCAUUCAAAGGCAUUCUUUAAAGCUGCAUGGUUAAAGAAUUAUCUGGAAGCUUGGGCACAUGGUGAGCUGCUGUGUGUAUCAUCUUGUUGCCACUUCUAGAGUUUUACCAGAUAGUAAUGUUGUGGGUUUGAAACUCGUGUUUGCCUUCCAUGCACGAGGAGCUUUUAUUAUCUGACCAAAAGGAUUAGUUAUGCUGCUGCAUCUACCCCUUUACCUGGCUAGUCAAGGCGGCAGUGAACCAUCUGAUGAGACAAUAAGAACUAUCAGGUUCUUAAGGUUUAUGACUUAAAAUUGUGCACCCAAAGCAGCCAUUAAAAGAUGCCGUUGCCUGUAGUGAAAGGAAAAAUUACUUCUGGAAGCUGAUCUUUAGAUUUCUGGGCAAUUAAAGUGAUGAAAGCUGAAGAUUUCUGUAGUAAAAGCAAUUGCAAAGCUUGUGGAGAUCUUGCAUAUUAUGCUUGUGAAUAUUUUGCGUAUUAUUACAAAAUUUCUUUGUAAAAUAUCAGUGUAUCCAAUCGUGUUCCUGUGGUUCUCC